UACUUUUGUGUGUCAUACUUUGGAAUAA
rnacentral:piRNA from 1 species